rnacentral:pre_miRNA from 1 species
UUAACUCAAAUUUGUAUGGAGUUGGAACGUUUGCGUUAUAUUUACCGUUAAGAGCGCUGUUCCAACUCAAUUACAAAUUCGAGUUA